ACGCUCGACACCUACGGGGCAGCAGUCGGGAAUAUUGCGCAAUGGAGGAAACUCUGACGCAGUGACGCCGCGUAUAGGAAGAAGGUCUUCGGAUUGUAAACUAUUGUCGUUAGGGAAGAAAAAAGGACAGUACCUAAGGAGGAAGCUCCGGCUAACUACGUGCCAGCACGCCGACGGUAAUCUGAGGCGGGCGUGGGACGAAAGGGC
rnacentral:rRNA from 1 species